UGGGGCCAAGGUUCUGAUAA
rnacentral:piRNA from 1 species